rnacentral:rRNA from 1 species
UACGUAGGGUGCGAGCGUUGUCCGGAAUUAUUGGGCGUAAAGGGCUCGUAGGCGGUCUGUCACGUCGGGAGUGAAAACUCGGGGCUCAACCCCGAGCCUGCAGUCGAUACGGGCAGACUAGAGUGCUGUAGGGGAGACUGGAAUUCCUGGUGUAGCGGUGAAAUGCGCAGAUAUCAGGAGGAACACCCGUGGCGAAGGCGGCUCUCUGGGACGGUACUGACGCUGAGACGCGAAAGCGUGGGGAGCGAACAGG